UCAUACAUCAAUCAAUUGGUUCCAGAUUUUAACAACAAUUACAGUAAUUAAAGAGUUUAACAUACUCAUUCAUUUACCAAUACUCAAAUAUUUAGGUGAGUUGGUUCCUGAUUACCUGCCGCAGGUGCCAGGUUUGCAUAGGAUAGUACAACAAACUAACAGUAAGGGAAAGGGUCUAACAAAAAUGGAAGUUCAUAACAGACUCUAUUGAGUCUGUAAGGCAAUACAAGAAAUGAGAUAACAAUUACGGUGAUGACAAGAUUCUGUACGCUCAUGAGUUCCUAAGUGAAACAGAUUGUGUUGCUGAUAAUUGUCCAAGCUAACUCAUAACCGAAUUCGUAACCAAAUUUUGACAGAAUGGAAGGGGAGAGAAUUGUGGGAUUUAAGAUGGUUCAAGGACCGAUUGAGAAUGGUGUUGAAGGAGGCAAAUUUGUUGUGCAUGAACAUGAGAAUGGAAAGCUGGAACAAGAUAUGGGAGCUGGUGAGGCCAUCAAAUUUGGCUCACAUGGAGAUGAAUCUGCUAAAGGGGAAGCUAACUAAGUUACUGAUUCCAAUACCCCGAAGAGCACUGCUGAAGACUGGCCUGCACCUAAGCAGAUUCUGAUGGAGGAGAUACAGGGAGAUCAGUUCCUUAUUCUCCUGUCUGAUGCACUUCACAAGACCUUUCAACUUUAGAGAUUACCAAGAGAUUGCAUAUCAAAU